UACGUAGGGUGCGAGCGUUAAUCGGAAUUACUGGGCGUAAAGCGUGCGCAGGCGGUUUUGUAAGACAGAUGUGAAAAUCCCCCGGGGCUUAACCUGGGAACUGCAUUUGUGACUGCAUAGCUAGAGUACGGUAGAGGGGGGAUGGAAAUUCCGCGUGUAGCAGUGAAAAUGCGUAGAUAUGCGGGAGGAACACCGAUGCGAAGGCAAUCCCCCUGG
rnacentral:rRNA from 1 species